UGGAUGAUAAAACAAUGUCAUUGCGCAACCCACUCUCAUAUCCACACUCAUCAUAGUGUCAGUUGGAGUGUCAGUGAGGUGCAACGGAAUGGAGUUGCUCUAUGUGCAUUGUUGAGAGAAGACGAUAAUAUCUUGAUAUCAUUACUUAAAAAAUAUAAAAAAUCUUAUUCCAUACAGAAAUGGUGUGGAAUGUAACAACCUCUGAGUGGUGCAGGGUGGAAUCGGAUUGAUUGACUGAUGGGUGGCUCAAUACAGGUGGCGCUGGCCAUUGUUUUGACGAAUGUCACAGUCACGGCAGAUGCUGAAGAACAUAGACACAGAGGCGAGCAUGAGGCCCAAACGUCAUGCCUUACUUUCUAUAUCAGUCUAGGCAUUCCAGGGGAAGCAAAAUCUAGUUCGCUCAGCAUCAGCACUUCCUAAAUCAUUCCAACCCUGGAGGGAAACUCCUCACUACAGGUGAGGUCUUGCGAGCUGCUGGUUUGGAUCGAGGCACGGAGGGAUUCAGGCUCGGCACUGAACCUGACAAAACUGAAACUCAACAGCCUGCAAUAACAAAACUGAGUCACCUAAGAAGGUUUGGCUGGGCCUGCUGUAGAGGCAUCCAUUUUGAGAAGGGUUUUUGCCUCACAGCACUCAAAUGUCUGCUAAACUCAUAACUGGCCAGUGUGGAGCUUGCCCUUAGCCACAACAAGUUCUCUACGACAGGAAAUGGUAUCUUUCUUCCAUCCUCAAUGAUUAACUAAACCCAGAGCCCCCUUACUGGAUAUCAGCCCGUAGUAUGAAAAGCUGGAAUAAGAUAUUCAAGAGAGGAGACCCGGAGAGUGUGGAUGGGAACUCCUCUUUGCAGAAAAACUCCUUGAACAACGCCCCGCUAGAGCUAACACCUCAGAGGGCCUCAGAUGACGACCUUUCAGAUGACGCAAACUCCACUGCCCACUCAUCCAGCACUCCCCCAUAUGUACAAGGAGUGGGGGGUGAUGGGGACGAGGGGACCCUUAAGGACAGGUUGAGAACUCUCCUCCCCCAAUCAUGGGGCAGUAUUCUCCAGAAAUGGAGCAAUGGGGAUGCUGACUCUGACCUGGGCUCCGCAGGGGUCAAGAUUGUGCCCAAUGGGACCAGGGUGAGUCCACCUGUCAGUCCUAUACUGGAGAGGAGGUACUGGGACACUCAGGACUCACUGGGGACAUCCAGCAAGAGUUCCCAAAGGCCCUUGUUGAGGGACGUUCCUAUAGACAAUGACCUACUCCAUUAUCUUCCAGAGGAAUCAGAGCUGACCAGUAUCCAUCCAGCUGAGUACUAUGCUGAGAAGGUGGAGGUCUACAAGCAGAAGUACUCCUAUAUGAAAUCAUGGCCUGGGUUACUGAGACUCCUUGCUGGGUUUGAACUUCUCUUUGGCGGUAUGGUCCUUGCCUGUGUCUGUGCCUACAUCCAUAAGGACAGUGAGUGGUCGAACUCCUAUGGACUGUACAAUGGUGCGUAUAACAAUGGAUAUGGCACAUCGGGGAAGUCCUAUAAAGGACCUAUGACCCUAUUCGUGAUAGCGGUGGUUGGGGUGGCGUGGAUUGUAACCAUCCUCCUACUGGUAAUAGGGCUGACUAUGUACUACCGUACCAUCCUCCUGGACUCACCCUGGUGGCCUCUCACUGAAGGCGUCAUCAACGUCGCCCUGUUCCUCCUCUACAUGGCUGCUGGUAUCGUGUACCUGAAUGACCUCAACCGUGGGGGUUUGUGUUACAUGACUAUAGGUAUUAACCCCAUAAUGUCCAGCCUGUGUCGGGUGGACGGGGGCCAGAUGGCUGGCACGGCUUUCAUCUUCAUCAACAUGCUGAUGUACCUCAUCAGCUUCCUGGUGUGUCUGAAGAUGUGGAGGCACGAGGCCACCCGCAGGGAGAUGGAGUUCUUUGAGAACCAGGAGAAUCUGAGGCCCAUCCCUGUGGCCCAGACCAAAUCUCCCAAUCCGCAGACCAAGAGGAUUGUGUUUGAGGAUGAGAUGGACAGCUCAAUGAGGGCAACCAAACUCCUCCACGUCACAGACUUUCAGCAAGAGGAGCCAGGCAGCCGGAACAGAGCCAUCCCCACAGGGUACGCCCAGAAGCCCAGAGUCAUCGCCGAUUAUGUCAUUAUCCAGAAAUCUCCUCUUUGGAGGAUAGGGAGAAAUACAAAGCUGUCUUCAACGACCAGUAUCAGGAGUACAAGGACCUUCACAAAGACAUCAGUGAGACCCUCGUGAAGUUCAGAGAGCUGGAUGCCAUGAUGGGUAAACUCCUCAAAGAUGGCAACAGUCAUGAGGAGCAGACGAGAAUCCAGCGGAUUUUGAAGAAGUACGAGCAAAAAAAGAGUGACCCUGCCUUCCUGGAGAAGAAGGAACGAUGUGACUAUCUGAAAGCUAAAUUAAGCCACAUCAAGAACAGGAUCCGCAAUUUCGACCAAGACACCAUGGCAAAGGGUCGGACGUGAAGAAAUAGCACGUACACAGAGGAAACAAAUGGGCCAUUAUUAUUCUGUUCCUGUCACGUCUUCUCUGUGAGACUGUUAUUUCAGCUCUAAUUGUGUUUUUGGCGUGUUACUUAAGUAGGUUUCAGUAAAUGGCUGUUCAAAUCAGUAAACUGUGUGUUGUUACAUUAUAGCCUGCAACACUUUUUGUGCUUACUGUAAAGAUGACUUUCCCACGAAUAUUGUGUGUGAGUUUCAGUCAUGAAGUGAAUGAACUCAUGAACUCAUAAACGGAGCGCAGUUGUGUACAUACCUUUGGACUUUUGUGAACAAUGCUAACAGGGUCAAUUUCCAUUGCAUCGGCAAGCAUUGCAUUUACACUUGUAGGCUUAAAGGGCAAUACACUAUCAAAUCCUUGGAGAGUUUUUCAUAUGAAAUUUAAAAUAUGAAAUGCUGAAAGGGCAGUCGAGUACCAGCAAUCAAUUUGAAGCUGUUACACAGUAGGCUAAUGACAUGCCCCAGCUAGCACAUUUGAUUCCUUGGAAGUUGUGGGAAUGUAUGUUUUUGGUUUCACAUUGGUUGUGGAGAUGAAGCCAUACGUUUUCUGACCGGUAAAACUGAACGUUUAAAAAAAUAAUUCUCUGAGAACAGAAAUGACAAUUUCGCCUGUUCUGGGAACGUUUAGUUUUAGGUUGCAGGGAGGUUCUGAGACCGUUUUACCCUGGUUCCAUGAAUGUUCCUGGUUCCAUGAGGUUUUAUUACAGCUCUGAUAAUGGAAAUCAUAGGUUAAAUGGAGGGUUUUAAUUAACUUCCUUUAAACUUUCACUGAAUGUUUCAAAACGACUUUUAACAAAACUACUAGCUUUUUUGGGUUAACUUUUUUGAACACCAAUCACAAAUAAGACACAUGGAAAUGUAUUUCCUUAGGCAUUAAUCGUGCAAAUACAUUUAUUUUGUAUUGUGACACAGUAUCAGUGAGAUCCAAACCUAUAAUCUUUUGUUCUCGAUCAUUGGAAUAAAUCCACUAAGUCACCAAGAUGGAGAUAGCAUGACGUGUUUUUUACGCAUAAAAGGCUGUUCCUUUUAGUCUAUUCAAACAGACCCUAUUUCAAAGGAAACAAGCACUCAUUAAGAUCAGAGAUAUAUAUAUAUUCCAUUCUCAGCAGCAACAAAACUCUCUAAUCUCUAUCUUGUUAAGUGUGUUCAGGUGUGAUGGCCAUCCCCACUAAUUGGCCAACACACCUGAACACACUUAACAAGAUAGAGGAUAGAGAGUUUUGUUGCUGCUGAGGAUGGAAUAUAUAUGUUUUUAAAUAACAGUCUUAGAAUAUUCUCUGAAAAUUACUAAAGUUUUAUAGUGUUUUUUAUGGAAUGUUUUCUUAACGUUCUCUGAACAUAACUUUAAAUAGAACCAUGAAGAAACAUGUAAAAAAUGUUCCGCAGAAGUUCUGAAAUUCUAACAGAGGAAUGUUGUUUCUUAACGUUCUUGGAACAAUUUGAGAACAUGACUUUAAAUAGAACCAUGAGGAAACCUGUAGAAAAUGUUAUGCUGAAGUACUAAAAUUCCCACAGAAUAAUUGUUUUUCUUAAUACUCUCUAAACUAUUUGAGAAUAUUCCCAAUGUCAAACCAGUUGGAGAACAUUCCUAGAACAUUACCAACAUUUAAUGUUUGACAUUUCAGGAAAGCUUAUGUUAAAGUAAUAAGUAAUAUGUUGAUUUGUAGCUCAGUUGGUAGCGCAUAGCACUCCUAAUGCCAGGGUAGUGGGUUUGAUUCCCAGGAGCAACCAUACAUAAAAUGAAUGCACGCGUGAGUGUAAGUCGCUUAGGGUAAAUGCAUCUGCUAAAUGACUUACACUAUUAAUAAAAUAUCAAGAAAAUAAA